rnacentral:snoRNA from 1 species
AUCCUUUUGGAGUUUAUAAGCAUGAUCGUUGGGUUUUCACGUGCAUGUGUGAGAUGUCGACUCCCUCAAGCCUUGUUACAGCAUCAACACAUUACCAGUCUGACA